AUUGAACGCUGGCGGCAGGCCUAACACAUGCAAGUCGAACGAGUGGCGGACGGGUGAGUAAUGUCUGGGAAACUGCCCGAUGGUGGGGGAUAACUACUGGAAACGGUAGCUAAUACCGCAUACCAUCGGAUGUGCCCAGAUGGGAUUAGCUAGUAGGUGGGGUAACGGCUCACCUAGGCGACGAUCCCUAGCUGGUCUGAGAGGAUGACCAGACACACUGGAAGGGAGGCACGGUCCAGACUCCUACGGGAGGGAGCAGUGGGGAAUAUUGCACAAUGGGCGCGAGCCUGAUGCAGCCAUGCCGCGUGUAUGGAGGAGGCCUUCGGGUUGUAAAGUACUUUCAGCGGGGAGGCGUUACUCGCAGAAGAAGCACCGGCUAACUCCGUGCCAGCAGCCGCGGUAAUAC
rnacentral:rRNA from 1 species